GGAUCAUGUCGCCACCUGCUCAAGCAGAACAACUUGUGAACACGUAAUCGCAACCUACGAACUAAAGGGCUGUCUUCUUUGGCAUGCCGCCCUUCGUUCCCAAUGUCGAGGCCUGCCCGGCGAACACGCAGCACCCGAACGCCCGUCGUUUGAGCUGCGUUUUCCCGGGUUGACUUGACAUGAAACAAAAACCCGGCGUGAAAUGCGCCAAGGAAAUUAAAAGAAUGUGCAUCUGUUCCGUGGUUUGCUCGUGCAACAUUUCGGAAGGAUGUCAUCUUCUUGAUGUCUUUAAUGACUCUCGGCAACGGAUAUCUCGGCUCUUACAUCGAUGAAGAACGUAGCGAAAUGCGAUACUUGGUGUGAAUUGCAGAAUCCCGUGAACCAUCGAGUCUUUGAACGCAAGUUGCGCCCGAAUCCAUCCGGUCGAGGGCACGUCUGCCUGGGUGUCACGUACACGCGUCUCCACUAACCCUCUCCUCUAAGGAUUGGCGGGACCUGUGCGAGCAGAGAUUGGCAUCCCGUGCUUUCAAGCACGGUUUGCCUAAACACGAGUACCGGUGAUGAAAUUUCACGCCAAGUGGUGGUUCAUAAACCUCAAGGGUUUGCCAGUAUGCGUCGUGGAAGCCCAUCACUCGGAAAGCUCAAUGGACACCUUGAACGUCUAAACUGAUGCUAUGUCGCGACCCCA
rnacentral:misc_RNA from 1 species